rnacentral:rRNA from 1 species
CCUCUGGGCUGUAAACCUCUUUUCUCAAGGAAGAAGAUAUGACGGUACUUGAGGAAUAAGCCACGGCUAAUUCCGUGCCAGCAGCCGCGGUAAUACGGGAGUGGCAAGCGUUAUCCGGAAUUAUUGGGCGUAAAGCGUCCGCAGGCGGCUUUUCAAGUCUGCUGUUAAAGCGUGGAGCUUAACUCCAUCAUGGCAGUGGAAACUGAAAGGCUUGAGUAUGGUAGGGGCAGAGGGAAUUCCCGGUGUAGCGGUGAAAUGCGUAGAUAUCGGGAAGAACACCAGUGGCGAAGGCGCUCUGCUGGGCCAUUACUGACGCUCAUGGACGAAAGCCAGGGGAGCGAAAGGGAUUAGAUACCCCUGUAGUCCUGGCCGUAAACGAUGAACACUAGGUGUCGGGGGAAUCGACCCCUUCGGUGUCGUAGCUAACGCGUUAAGUGUUCCGCCUGGGGAGUACGCACGCAAGUGUGAAACUCAAAGGAAUUGACGGGGGCCCGCACAAGCGGUGGAGUAUGUGGUUUAAUUCGAUGCAACGCGAAGAACCUUACCAGGGUUUGACAUCCUGCGAACCUCUUAGAAAUUUGAGGGUGCCUUCGGGAAUGCAGUGACAGGUGGUGCAUGGCUGUCGUCAGCUCGUGUCGUGAGAUGUUGGGUUAAGUCCCGCAACGAGCGCAACCCACGUUUUUAGUUGCCAGCAUUUAGUUGGGCACUCUAGAAAGACCGCCGGUGAUAAACCGGAGGAAGGUGUGGAUGACGUCAAGUCAUCAUGCCCCUUACACCCUGGGCUACACACGUACUACAAUGCUACGGACAAAGGGCAGCAAACUCGCGAGAGCUAGCAAAUCCCAUAAACCGUGGCUCAG